AAGGUGGAGCGGUCUGCCGCCCGUCAAAGGGAGGAAAGUCCGGACAGGACAGGGCAUCCCGCUGCGGAAAGCGCAGGUAGGGGCAACCUUACGAGGGCCGUAACAGAAAAUUACAGCCUCUGUGGAGGCAACGGUGAAAACGCGAGGCAAGAGCUCACGACGCAGCCCAGCGAUGUGCUGCGGGUACGGUUCCGGGACCUGCAAGACCAAAUAUACUGGCAGACGAGGGCUGCCCGCCCGAUGCCAGGGGGUAGGUUGCGAAGAUAAAUGGCAGGCUAGAACAGAAACCGGCUUACGGCUCCACCUUUUUU
rnacentral:RNase_P_RNA from 2 species